rnacentral:rRNA from 1 species
UACGGAGGAUCCAAGCGUUAUCCGGAUUUAUUGGGUUUAAAGGGUGCGUAGGUGGCUUAUUAAGUCAGGGGUGAAAGACGGUAGCUUAACUAUCGCAGUGCCUUUGAUACUGAUGAGCUUGAAUGAACUAGAGGUAGGCGGAAUGUGACAAGUAGCGGUGAAAUGCAUAGAUAUGUCACAGAACACCAAUUGCGAAGGCAGCUUACUAUGGUUUGAUUGACACUGAGGCACGAAAGCGUGGGGGAGUCAAA